GUGUCAGCCGCCGCGGUAAGACGUAGGGCGCGAGCGUUGUCCGGAUUUAUUGGGCGUAAAGAGCUCGUAGGCGGCUUGUCGCGUCGACCGUGAAAACUCGCAGCUCAACUGCGAGCCUGCGGUCGAUACGGGCAGGCUAGAGUUCGGUAGGGGAGACUGGAAUUCCUGGUGUAGCGGUGAAAUGCGCAGAUAUCAGGAGGAACACCGGUGGCGAAGGCGGGUCUCUGGGCCGAUACUGACGCUGAGGAGCGAAAGCGUGGGGAGCGAACAGGAUUAGAAACCCUAGUAGUCC
rnacentral:rRNA from 1 species